UUUCUUUGGAAAUACUUGGUUUCCUCUUUAGCGAUGGCCAGCAUUGGGACUUAGGCCUUUCUUUUCUAAACCAAAUGACAUGGGGUGGUGAACACACAAUUCAAUGUACAAAUGAUACAGACUUGUACACCUGAAACCUAGAUAAUUUUAUUAACCAGUAUCACCCCAAUAAAGUCAAUUAAUAAAUACAGGAUAUAAAGAACUACAGAAACAAGCCAGGGAGAUUUUGUUCUGGCUUUGUUCCUGUUCAAAUUUAAUACUGGAGUUUCCCUGUCUCCCUCUGAAUGGGACUCUGCAAAUGGCUUAAAGGUCCUGUGCUCCUUCAGGACAUUAAGCUUCCAAAUCCUUUAUAGCCCAAUCUGAGUUAUCAAGGAUGUCAGGUUUUUGUCCAUAGUUUUAAGACUCUUAACACAUUUAGGUUCACAGCAAAAGAAGGUACAGAGGUUUCUGAUACACUUCCUGCCCCCACCCCUAAUAUGUGUAGUCUCACACCGUAACACCCAUCACUGGGGGGUACAUUUAUUGUAAUGGGUGAACAUCUGUUCAUGUAAUCACGCAAAGUCUAUAGUCUUUAGCUUUACUUUUGCUGUUGUGUUAUCAGUAUUUAUCUAGACAAAUUUAUGACGACGUGCUUCAUCAUAGAAUAGAGUAUUUUUACUGCUCUCAAAAUAUGUUCUGUUCAUCCUUCCUGUUCUCAGUCUAUGGUAACCACUGGUCUUUGGUAUUGUCGCUGGUUUUGCCUUUUCCAAAAUGUGUAGUUAGGAUCACACGAUACAUGGCCUUUCCUUUUCCUAAUUUUCUUUUUAUCCUCACCCAAGGACAUUUUUUUUCUUUUUUCAUUGAGAUAGCGAGCCCACAAGAGAAACAUUUAAUAGUUGCUGCCUUGUAUGUGCCCCAGCAGGGAAUCAAACCCACAACCUUUUGGUCUGUGGCCUGGAUGUUCCAACCAAUUGAGACACACCAGCCAGGGAUACAUACCCUUUUCAGAUAGGUUUCACUUAAAGCAGCAAUUUUUCAACUGGUGUGGGUGCUGAAAGAUUUAUUCUCUUGUAGAGAGAAGGAGAGAUGAUCAAUUUGUUCCACUUACACAUUCAUUGGUUCUUGUAGGUGCCUUGACCAGGUAUCAAGCCUGCAAACUUGGUUGGCAUAUUGGGACAAAUGCUCUUACUAAGUUACUUGGUUAGAGCUGACCUUGCAAGAAUUUUUAAAACAUGAUAGCUAUUUAGUCAGGGGCACGGACCCCUUUUCCCUUAGAUUGUCAAAGAAAAAAUGACAGCUAACAAGAAUAGCUGUCCACUGUGAAUGAAUUAGGUUUAUUUGUCAGAUCAGCAAAAAGUAUUUUUU